rnacentral:lncRNA from 1 species
CAUUAUCAGUACUGAAGCAGAAGAAAAGAAAGCAAUUCUUUCAUAUAAAGUGAAAUUGCUAGUGGGUUACUUAUCUGAGCAUCUAGUCCUGCCGUUUCUUAAAUGAUCCGAAGGCAAACAGCGCAGUUAGGAAGUGUGUUCCAGUAUAACUGCUUCUUUGUAAAAGCCUUUUAAAAGGUUUAAUAAACGCGAGGAGCCCAAACAGCAGCCACGAUGCACAUAUGAAGCCACGGAUCAUUAGUCUUUGUUUACUCUUUCUGUAGUCUUCCCCAGGAUUACGACUGUGUGUGAUGUUAAAAUUUAAAAUGUGGUGCGAUGCAUCAACUGUUAUGCUUGACACUUUGUUGCAAGACGGACGGGUUCAAACGGAAAUCCACAGGAGAGAGGCGACUGGUGCCAGCUCCACAAACACGAAAGUUGAAAGAAAUCUGGCAUCAUUUCCCACUUCGGGAAGGGAGUGCUCCCUUUCGCUGCAGAUUCUCCCAGUCGGUUUCUGAAUCGUUGUCCUGGUGUUGAUUCGCAACUGUGCCAGCCUGAAGCCCGAGCAGGGUUGGGGUGCAGACCUGCUGGAGAGGAGAACUGUGCCAAGGAAGUUAGCCUUGCCAGAUGCACAUGCCCCCAUCUAAGACGCUCACUCACGAGGAAGCCCAGCGGGAUUCCUUAAGAAUGCUCUCAGACGUUUGAACUGGAUAGGUUCAAAGGUAGGUCCAAGUGAUAGAAUUGUUCAGGCUGGUGCUGAAGUACUAAACAACCCCUUCAGCCAGAUGUGUCAUUAUGAUCAAAAGAUAGGGUUCAGGAUAGCCCUCAGUUCUUGGCAUUGAUGCUCUAUUGUAUUGUUUUCGUUCCAGGAGAGAGGGAUUCUUGCACUUAAACACCACAUCAGGUACUUAUCAGGCAAGGGGGGACAAAUCUUCUCCAUGCCAUACAUUUGUAAGGCAUUGUAUGUUGGCAAAAGGACUCUUUUCAGAUAAUUUUCUCGCUUCAAUGUCUUUGUAUUAGCUCCUAGCUUGUUAGGUGAAUGUAUUCAAGCAUUAUUGUUUAAUUACUGUCUUUGGGGAAACGAUUAAACUGAGAUUACUAUGUUCUAUUUUUCUGGAGGUUACCUGGUCUGUUUUUAUAAAUAAAAACAUUUGCGUAGCAUUAAACUUCUAAAAUCAGAUGAAAGUACACG